rnacentral:rRNA from 1 species
GAAGGUAAGGUAAUACUUACUGGAGGUCCGAACCCACGCACGUUGAAAAGUGCGGGGAUGAGGUGUGGGUAGCGGAGAAAUUCCAAUCGAACUUGGAGAUAGCUGGUUCUCUCCGAAAUAGCUUUAGGGCUAGCCUCGAGGUAAAGAGUCAUGGAGGUAGAGCACUGUUUGGACUAGGGGCCCUUCUCGGGUUACCGAAUUCAGAUAAACUCCGAAUGCCAUGUACUUAUACUCGGGAGUCAGACUGCGAGUGAUAAGAUCCGUAGUCGAAAGGGAAACAGCCCAGACCACCAGUUAAGGUCCCCAAAUAUAUGUUAAGUGGAAAAGGAUGUGGGGUUGCUUAGACAACCAGGAUGUUGGCUUAGAAGCAGCCACCAUUGAAAGAGUGCGUAAUAGCUCACUGGUCGAGUGACCCCGCGCCGAAAAUGUACCGGGGCUAAACAUAUUACCGAAACUGUGGAUGAACCUCUUUAGAGGUUCGUGGUAGGAGAGCGUUCUAAGGGCGGUGAAGUCAGACCGGAAGGACUGGUGGAGCGCGUAGAAGUGAGAAUGCCGGUAUGAGUAGCGAAAGAAGGGUGAGAAUCCCUUCCACCGAAUAUCUAAGGUUUCCUGAGGAAGGCUCGUCCGCUCAGGGUUAGUCGGGACCUAAGCCGAGGCCGAUAGGCGUAGGCGAUGGACAACAGGUAGAGAUUCCUGUACCAGUGCUAAUUGUUUAACCGAUGGGGUGACACAGAAGGAUAGGGAA